rnacentral:rRNA from 1 species
CUCGUAGGUGGCCAACUAAGUCAGACGUGAAAUCCCUCAGCUUAACUGGGGAACUGCGUCUGAUACUGGAUGGCUUGAGUUUGGGAGAGGGAUGCGGAAUUCCAGGUGUAGCGGUGAAAUGCGUAGAUAUCUGGAGGAACACCGGUGGCGAAGGCGGCAUCCUGGACCAAUACUGACACUGAGGAGCGAAAGCCAGGGGAGCGAA